rnacentral:lncRNA from 1 species
CGGAAAUUAUAAAUAAAACUGUCACUAAAGGGCUAUAGCGACACUUUCUGUCGCUAUAGGUGUUCUUGAGGAUUUCCAGAAAUGCAUGACAGUGUGCUAGGGGGGUGGUUUGACCGGUUAUAUCUCUUAGGAUAAUGUGUUUCUGGACUUCCAAUUGAUUCCAUGUUGUAGUAUUCAUGUAAUACUACAACUACAUAACAAGUUUCGUGGCUAACCAUCAUCAGAUCAGAGAGAUUUAAG